GACGAACGCUGGCGGCGUGCUUAACACAUGCAAGUGGAGCGACGAACCAGGGCUUGCCCUGGGGCAGAGCCGCGAACGGGUGAGUAACACGUGGGUAACCUGCCCAGAUGACCGGGACAACCCGAGGAAACUCGGGCUAAUACCGGAUGUGUUCAUCCCACAUCAGUGGGAUGAGGAAAGGAAGCUUCGGCAUCCGCAUCGGGAUGGGCCCGCGGCCCAUUAGCUAGUUGGUGAGGUAAUGGCUCACCAAGGCUUCGAUGGGUAGCUGUUCUGAGAGGAAGAUCAGCCACACUGGGACUGAGACACGGCCCAGACUCCUACGGGAGGCAGCAGUGGGGAAUCUUGCGCAAUGCGCGAAAGCGUGACGCAGCAACGCCGCGUGCGGGAAGACGGCCUUCGGGUUGUAAACCGCUUUCAGUUGGGACGAAGCUUCGCCGGUGAAUAGCCGGCCGGAGUGACGGUACCUUCAGAAGAAGCCCCGGCUAACUACGUGCCAGCAGCCGCGGUAACAC
rnacentral:rRNA from 1 species